ACGGGGGAAGUCAGCGUGGCAAGACGCAGACAGCAGACAUGGAGAUGAUCUCCUGGAGGCAGGAGGAGUGGGGGACGCAGGGGGGAAUGUGGACCAGCCUGUCCCCGGGGCCUGCACACUUGCCUUCUCAUUCUGCUGCUCCCGUUGCCUGACUUGGUUGGAGCCCCUCUUAACUCUCCUGCCCUCUGGCACCCUGCAGUCCUUUCUGAACCAACUCCCUGCUCCUGCAAGGUAGGGCUCUCUCUAGUCCUCUGUGUCCCUCUCAGGACCCUUUAGCGACUCACAGGAACCUGGAAACCAAUCUCAUGUUCUCCUGGAGGAAAGGGCCUUAUCUCUGGGUUCAUAGGACUGGCCCCCACUGCCCUGUGCUCAGCAGUCACCACUCGUCCCCACCCUAUGGUGGCAGCUGGCUCUGAGCAGCAAGCUCUCACUGAGCAGAGACCCUCCCACCUUGUCCGUGGGCACCUGGUCACCAGUCGUCGGCUCCUCACAGGAGAAAGGUUUCCCACCAGUGCUGGUGAAAGUGGUGGGUGGACCUCUCUGUGCCUAUGUAAAUGUCUGGACCCCCAUGAAGACAGAGGGAGAGGGAGGGACAGAUGAGAGCAUCCUUCAUGUUCUGUGACACUCGGGUUUUCAGAUGUGACUUUCCCCAGUGGAAGCAGGCCUGGAGUGGGACAGUGGGCUGCAGGUCCCACCAC
rnacentral:lncRNA from 1 species